rnacentral:tRNA from 1 species
GGGAAUGUGGCUUAGUGGUAGAGUGUUUGCUUAACAUGCAUGAAGCCCUGGGUUCAAUUCCUCAGUACCA